rnacentral:lncRNA from 1 species
CGUAAUCUAAGGAUCAAUACAGAAUUAAACAAAUGAGGGCCGUGCAAUUGUCAUUUUUGUUUGGCACGGCACACCUCAAUUGAUUUUAAAAGAGAUGAAUUACUUCACUAAGGUAAACUAAAGAUACUCCUACUUUAAUCUUUGUAAUCAUACAUGAGAAAUAUUCUAAUGACUAUCCUCUUCCGGUCUCCGGUUGUAAAUAUCAUUCAGAAACGUAUUCAUUAUUUCAUAAUCCAAUUACUAUGAAUCUAAUACCAACGUACACAUUCCUUGCUUUGGAAUAACCCAAGUCAUCAUUGAAAACAAAUCACAGUGAAGUUCAACUAAAAUCAAAGGCUCAACUACAAAUGAUCCACAUGAGCUAGCAUUAUAUUUCAACAUCACAUUUACAUAUUACCAGAAGAAAAUACGAAGAACAUGAGGCAGAGAUGAGGAUAACCUGCUCACGAGUAACGUCGAAUGCGUUGGACCCGUGACGGAACCUCGGCAGAAACUGAAACGGAGCUCCUUGAACAGCGACCACUGACAAACCUCAGCAACUUCAGCGAUAGUCUUUCCCCUGGACAGUAUAUAAAUCCUUUCCCUUAUCGUGCCCAGUUUUUGCAUUGCUCCAAUUUAGCUUUCGCCGACACAAAAAAACGGAUUGAUUAGCGAUCUUCAUUUUCACGUAUUCUCUUUUCUCAAUCAAAGCCGCCAAAUUUCGAAUCUUCACAGUAGCCUCCCUCAGCCUCUUCAGAUCACGUAAUGCGGACAUAUUUGAAAAUUUGUGUGUAAACUUCCUAUUCCAAAGUAGCCGGAACGAAGGCAACGAACCCGACUCGAUCGGAAUAGAAUAUCAUCACAAACGACCUCGACUCGAUCGGAAUAGAAUAUCAUCACAAACGACCUCGACUCUCAAAUGGCAACCUCGACCGCAAAACUGGAAGCAAGCAUGAGCCGUUCCUGUUGCAAAGUAACAGACAGUAGAAAUCGACUUCAAAAGUCCAGAUCUCAAACCGUUUGUGAGCUUCAAAAUGGACUCAAAUCAGCCCAGCAGCAAAAAUGAAAUUUAAGAACUGAAAUUGCUUCUCAAUUAAUAGAACUUUAGCAACUAUGGAAACUGAAAAUCGAACUUUUGACUCAUGAAAUUUUCAGUGAUACACGAGACAGUAAUCGAGCCAGUGUUACAACCUUAAAUUCAAAAACAGCUGAAUCUUGAACCAGUUGACGCCGGACAGAUCUCAAACCAAAAAUAAAGAGCUACUAUCUUAAAUCGAACCUCGACGGAAACUUAUCAAAUCCCUAACCAGACUGCCUCGCUCGAACUCGAACACAAUCAUAACUCAAUCAAACUUCAUAACUUCAUGACGAAAAUUAAAAUAGAGAAGAGGAGACAGCAUAAUACUUUUGUUAUCAAUUAUUUUUUGGUUUUGUUUUCUGUAAUAUCUCAAAAAAUCCAAAAACGGAAUGAAGGAGCAGAAGUAUACAUAUCGUGUGUGUAUGCGCGUUAGAUGAAAAUCAAUGGAGGUAAAAAUGGUGUUCCUGUUUUUGUAGAGGAGAGGGUCUGUUUAUAUGUAUCCUUCCGCCUCUGUUUUCGCCGAUAUCAAAAUUGAAAAAUGGCUGAUCUCUUAUUUCCUCCUUUGCUUUUUGUUUUGGCGUUUUUCUUUUUGUGUUUUUCGUCCCCUUUAUCGUUGUGUAGUUUUCUUGUGUGUUUAUAUAGAGGGCAUGGGGUGGGGUGUCAUGUGGGGGAGUUUUACCUGAG